GACGAACGCUGGCGGCGUGCUUAACACAUGCCAGUCGUACGGUAAGGCCCCUUCGGGGGUACACGAGUGGCGAACGGGUGAGUAACACGUGAGUAACCUGCCCACAACUUUGGGAUAACGCUAGGAAACUGGUGCUAAUACUGGAUAUGUGCUCCUGCUGCAUGGUGGGGGUUGGAAAGCUCCGGCGGUUGUGGAUGGACUCGCGGCCUAUCAGCUUGUUGGUGGGGUAGUGGCCUACCAAGGCGGCGACGGGUAGCCGGCCUGAGAGGGUGACCGGCCACAUUGGGACUGAGAUACGGCCCAGACUCCUACGGGAGGCAGCAGUGGGGAAUAUUGCACAAUGGGCGCAAGCCUGAUGCAGCAACGCCGCGUGCGGGAUGACGGCCUUCGGGUUGUAAACCGCUUUCAGCAGGGACGAAGCUUUUUGUGACGGUACCUGCAGAAGAAGCACCGGCUAACUACGUG
rnacentral:rRNA from 1 species